rnacentral:rRNA from 1 species
UGCUAAUACCGCAUAAGCGCACAGCUUCGCAUGAAGCAGUGUGAAAAACUCCGGUGGUACAAGAUGGACCCGCGUCUGAUUAGCUGGUUGGUGAGGUAACGGCCCACCAAGGCGACGAUCAGUAGCCGGCCUGAGAGGGUGAACGGCCACAUUGGGACUGAGACACGGCCCAAACUCCUACGGGAGGCAGCAGUGGGGAAUAUUGCACAAUGGGGGAAACCCUGAUGCAGCAACGCCGCGUGAGUGAAGAAGUAUUUCGGUAUGUAAAGCUCUAUCAGCAGGAAAGAAAAUGACGGUACCUGACUAAGAAGCCCCGGCUAACUACGUGCCAGCAGCCGCGGUAAUACGUAGGGGGCAAGCGUUAUCCGGAUUUACUGGGUGUAAAGGGAGCGUAGACGGUUUUGCAAGUCUGAAGUGAAAGCCCGGGGCUUAACCCCGGGACUGCUUUGGAAACUGUAGAACUAGAGUGCAGGAGAGGUAAGUGGAAUUCCUAGUGUAGCGGUGAAAUGCGUAGAUAUUAGGAGGAACACCAGUGGCGAAGGCGGCUUACUGGACUGUAACUGACGUUGAGGCUCGAAAGCGUGGGGAGCAAACAGGAUUAGAUACCCUGGUAGUCCACGCCGUAAACGAUGAUUGCUAGGUGUUGGUGGGUAAGACCCAUCGGUGCC